AUUUUAAAAAAAUUUAAGGGCCGAAAUCUUUUGGUGCAUAGGAGCAUUGCUCUAAAAAUUUUAGAAGAUAAAUAAAAUUUUAACUAGUCAAUUUUUAAUAAAAAAGUUUAGUGAUUAGAUAAUUAAUAUUAAAAAAUAUUAAAUUUAUUUCGUUAAUUUACACUCGCUUAACUUCUAAUUAUUUUAUUUACAUUAUUUCAAUCAAAUAACUUGUGAAUUUUAUUAAAUCUAAUAGUAAUUUAGUUGGAAUUUAAUUUUUUAAAUUUUUGUUAAUAAAAUAAUAACAACCAAUAACUAAUAUCUAACAGAACUAUUAAAUUUAGCAUACUAUUUUAUUUAGUUAAAUAAAUUAGCCCAUCAAAAAUAAAUAGAAAGUUAAGAAUGUAUAAAUAAAAUAUUUAAAGUUAAAAGGAAUUAGCUUAAAAUGCAUGAUAAUUAAGAGGUUCUUAGUGUAUUUUCACCUAUAAAACACAUAAGAAAAGAGAGAGCUCUAUACCAGCACUAAAAACUUUUUACUAGAUAGGCCCAUAUAUUUUAA
rnacentral:lncRNA from 1 species